AUGAUCCAUGCAGUAUACGGUAUUUGGCUUGUGAGAAACGAGGCGAGGGUGGAAAACAAAUUGCGCAUCCACAUGAAACAGGUUUCUGUUUUACGACACAUGCAGGAAUGGAAGCUAUCUCACCAGCCAAAGGUUCGUGAUGUCCAUCUAAAGCAGGUGCAGAAAUGGGCGGUGCCGGACCAGGGUUGGGUGAAAAUAAAUUUUAAUGGUGUGGUCUCGAGGACUGGAGGUAAAGGGGGGAGUGGUGUUGUAACACAUGACCAUUAUGGCGCUUUCAUUGCUGGUGCUAGCCAUUUCUUCCCGAGUAUUGGAAGCCCUAAGAUAUCUGAAGUUCUGGCGUGCAAAGAGCUGUUCAAUUAG
rnacentral:rRNA from 1 species